AAUCAACGCUGGCGGCGUGCCUCAGACAUGCAAGUCGAACGAUUAAGACUUCCUUCGGGAAGUGCAUAAAGUGGCGCACGGGUGAGUAACACGUAAGUAAUCUACCCUCGAGUGGGGAAUAACGUUCGGAAACGAACGCUAAUACCGCAUAACGCAGCGGCACCGCAAGGUGACAGUUGUUAAAGGAGCAAUCCGCUUGAGGAGGAGCUUGCGACAGAUUAGCUAGUUGGUAAGGUAAUGGCUUACCAAGGCUACGAUCUGUAUCCGGUCUAAGAGGACGGUCGGACACACUGACACUGAAUAACGGGUCAGACUCCUACGGGAGGCAGCAGUCGGGAAUUUUGGGCAAUGGGCGAAAGCCUGACCCAGCAACGCCGCGUGAAGGAUGAAGUAUUUCGGUAUGUAAACUUCGAAAGAAUGGGAAGAAUAAAUGACGGUACCAUUUAUAAGCUCCGGCUAACUACGUGCCAGCCGCCGCGGUAACAC
rnacentral:rRNA from 1 species